GCUGGGCAUGGUGGUGCACGCCUGUAGUCCCAGCUACUCAGGAGGCUGAGGUGGGAGGAUCACUUGAGCCCAGGAGGGCAAGGAUACAGCCUGGGCAACAGAGUGAGAUCCUGUCUCAA
rfam:Nomascus leucogenys chromosome 8, whole genome shotgun sequence.